AUUUAUCGUGAUGAUUAUUUAUACCGCCCCAGGCUGAACAAUACCGUGUUUGAUUGGUUUUCAUUCUGAAAAU